GCCAAGGUGGCCAAGUCUGGUAAGGCUCCCGACUGUUAAUUGGGAAACUCAAUGGUUCAAAUCCAGUCCUUGGCG
rnacentral:tRNA from 1 species